rfam:Dipodomys ordii contig_54671, whole genome shotgun sequence.
GGGAAGGUGGCUCAGUGGUAGAGUGCUUGCCUUGCACACAUGAGGCUCUGGGUUCAAUUCCUCAGCACCCCA